GGAGCAGAAAGGGGCGCCCCAAGUAGGACGGAUCCUACUUGGGCGCCUCCUCCAAGUCAGCCUCCCCCCUUCCAUAAGUAUCAGAGGGGGAAGGAAAGAAAGGGGGAGGGAAGGAAAGGGGGAGGCCGAAUCCUCCCCAUUCCUUC
rnacentral:sRNA from 1 species